rnacentral:rRNA from 1 species
GUCGAACGCUGAAGCCUGGUGCUUGCACCGGGUGGAUGAGUGGCGAACGGGUGAGUAAUACGUGAGUGACCUGCCUUUGACUCUGGGAUAAGCCUGGGAAACUGGGUCUAAUACCGGAUGCGACUACUGCCCGCAUGGGCUGGUGGUGGAAAGGGUUAUGUACUGGUCUUAGAUGGGCUCACGGCCUAUCAGCUGGUUGGUGGGGUAAUGGCCUACCAAGGCGACGACGGGUAGCCGGCCUGAGAGGGUGACCGGCCACACUGGGACUGAGACACGGCCCAGACUCCUACGGGAGGCAGCAGUGGGGAAUAUUGCACAAUGGGCGCAAGCCUGAUGCAGCGACGCCGCGUGAGGGAUGACGGCCUUCGGGUUGUAAACCUCUUUCAGCAGGGAAGAAGCGGAAGUGACGGUACCUGCAGAAGAAGCGCCGGCUAACUACGUGCCAGCAGCCGCGGUAAUACGUAGGGCGCAAGCGUUGUCCGGAAUUAUUGGGCGUAAAGAGCUCGUAGGCGGCUUGUCGCGUCUGCUGUGAAAGCCCGGGGCUUAACUCCGGGUGUGCAGUGGGUACGGGCAGGCUAGAGUGCAGUAGGGGUAACUGGAAUUCCUGGUGUAGCGGUGAAAUGCGCAGAUAUCAGGAGGAACACCGAUGGCGAAGGCAGGUUACUGGGCUGUUACUGACGCUGAGGAGCGAAAGCAUGGGGAGCGAACAGGAUUAGAUACCCUGGUAGUCCAUGCCGUAAACGUUGGGCACUAGGUGUGGGGGGACAUUCCACGUUUUCCGCGCCGUAGCUAACGCAUUAAGUGCCCCGCC